UAAUACGUAGGGUGCAAGCGUUGUCCGGAAUUACUGGGCGUAAAGAGUUCGUAGGCGGUUUGUCGCGUCGUUUGUGAAAACCAGCAGCUCAACUGCUGGCUUGCAGGCGAUACGGGCAGACUUGAGUACUGCAGGGGAGACUGGAAUUCCUGGUGUAGCGGUGAAAUGCGCAGAUAUCAGGAGGAACACCGGUGGCGAAGGCGGGUCUCUGGGCAGUAACUGACGCUGAGGAACGAAAGCGUGGGUAGCGAACAGGAUUAGAUACCCUGGUAGUCCACGCCGUAAACGGUGGGCGCUAGGUGUGGGUUCCUUCCACGGAAUCCGUGCCGUAGCUAACGCAUUAAGCGCCCCGCCUGGGGAGUACGGCCGCAAGGCUA
rnacentral:rRNA from 1 species